GCAAGGAAUUUUGCGCAAUGGGCGAAAGCCUGACGCAGCGACGCCGCGUGAGGGACGAAGGCUUUCGAGUUGUAAACCUCUUUUCCUGAGGAAGAAUAAUGACGGUACUCAGGGAAUAAGUCUUGGCUAACUACGUGCCAGCAGCCGCGGUAAUACGUAGGAGGCAAACGUUAUUCGGAUUUACUGGGCGUAAAGCGGGUGUAGACGGCUUCUUAAGUCGGUUGUGAAAUCUCCUGACUUAAUUGGGAGGAGUCAAUCGAUACUGAGAAGCUAGAGGACAGCAGAAGAAAGUGGAAUUCCCGGUGUAGCGGUGAUAUGCGUAGAUAUCGGGAGGAAUACCAGUGGCGAAGGCGGCUUUCUAGGUUGUUCCUGACGUUGAUGCCCAAAAGCGUGGGGAGCGAAACGGAUUAGAUACCCUGGUAGUCC
rnacentral:rRNA from 1 species